GAUGAAGAACGCAGUGAAAUGCGAUACGUAAUGUGAAUUGCAAAUUCAGUGAAUCAUCGAGUCUUUGAACGCACAUUGCGCCCCCUGGUAUUCCGGGUGGCAUGCCUGUCCGAGCGUCAUUGCUGCCCUCAAGCACGGCUUGUGUGUUGGGCCCCGUCCUCCGAUCCCGGGGGACGGGCCCGAAAGGCAGCGGCGGCACCGCGUCCGGUCCUCGAGCGUAUGGGGCUUUGUCACCCGCUCUGUAGGCCCGGCCGGCGCUUGCCGAUCAACCCAAAUUUUUAUCCAGGUUGACCUCGGAUCAGGUAGGGAUACCCGCUGAACUUAAGCAUAUCAAUAAGCGGAGGA
rnacentral:misc_RNA from 1 species